UCCUGGCUCAGAUUGAACGCUGGCGGCAUGCCUUACACAUGCAAGUCGAACGGUAACAGGUUAAGCUGACGAGUGGCGAACGGGUGAGUAAUGUAUCGGAACGUGCCCAGUCGUGGGGGAUAACUGCUCGAAAGAGCAGCUAAUACCGCAUACGACCUGAGGGUGAAAGCGGGGGAUCGCAAGACCUCGCGCGAUUGGAGCGGCCGAUAUCAGAUUAGGUAGUUGGUGAGGUAAAGGCUCACCAAGCCGACGAUCUGUAGCUGGUCUGAGAGGACGACCAGCCACACUGGGACUGAGACACGGCCCAGACUCCUACGGGAGGCAGCAGUGGGGAAUUUUGGACAAUGGACGCAAGCCUGAUCCAGCCAUGCCGCGUGCGGGAAGAAGGCCUUCGGGUUGUAAACCGCUUUUGUCAGGGAAGAAAAGGUUCUGGCUAAUACCUGGGACUCAUGACGGUACCUGAAGAAUAAGCACCGGCUAACUACGUGCCAGCAGCCGCGGUAAUACGUAGGGUGCAAGCGUUAAUCGGAAUUACUGGGCGUAAAGCGUGCGCAGGCGGUUAUGCAAGACAGAGGUGAAAUCCCCGGGCUCAACCUGGGAACUGCCUUUGUGACUGCAUGGCUAGAGUACGGUAGAGGGGGAUGGAAUUCCGCGUGUAGCAGUGAAAUGCGUAGAUAUGCGGAGGAACACCGAUGGCGAAGGCAAUCCCCUGGACCUGUACUGACGCUCAUGCACGAAAGCGUGGGGAGCAAACAGGAUUAGAUACCCUGGUAGUCCACGCCCUAAACGAUGUCAACUGGUUGUUGGGAGGCUUUCUUCUCAGUAACGUAGCUAACGCGUGAAGUUGACGCUUGGGGAGUACGGCCGCAAGCUGAAACUCAAGAAUUGACGGGACCCGCACAAGCGGUGAUGAUGUGGUUAGUCGAUGCACGCGAAAACUUACCUACCUUGACUGUUCUGAUCCUGAAAGAUUCGGGAUGCUCGAAAGAAGCUGAACCAGGGCUGGCAUGCGUCCUCAGCUCGUCCUGGUAGUUGGUUAGUCCGUACAGGCUACCUUGCAUAUGGCUCCUAGACUUUAGAAUGACGGUAACCCGAGAAGUGGGAAUAGAACAUCG
rnacentral:rRNA from 1 species